rnacentral:rRNA from 1 species
AACGCUGGCGGCGUGCCUAAUACAUGCAAGUCGAGCGAACAGACGAGGAGCUUGCUUCUCUGACGUUAGCGGCGGACGGGUGAGUAACACGUGGAUAACCUACCUAUAAGACUGGGAUAACUUCGGGAAACCGGAGCUAAUACCGGAUAAUAUAUUGAACCGCAUGGUUCAAUAGUGAAAGACGGUUUUGCUGUCACUUAUAGAUGGAUCCGCGCCGCAUUAGCUAGUUGGUAAGGUAACGGCUUACCAAGGCAACGAUGCGUAGCCGACCUGAGAGGGUGAUCGGCCACACUGGAACUGAGACACGGUCCAGACUCCUACGGGAGGCAGCAGUAGGGAAUCUUCCGCAAUGGGCGAAAGCCUGACGGAGCAACGCCGCGUGAGUGAUGAAGGUCUUCGGAUCGUAAAACUCUGUUAUUAGGGAAGAACAAAUGUGUAAGUAACUAUGCACGUCUUGACGGUACCUAAUCAGAAAGCCACGGCUAACUACGUGCCAGCAGCCGCGGUAAUACGUAGGUGGCAAGCGUUAUCCGGAAUUAUUGGGCGUAAAGCGCGCGUAGGCGGUUUUUUAAGUCUGAUGUGAAAGCCCACGGCUCAACCGUGGAGGGUCAUUGGAAACUGGAAAACUUGAGUGCAGAAGAGGAAAGUGGAAUUCCAUGUGUAGCGGUGAAAUGCGCAGAGAUAUGGAGGAACACCAGUGGCGAAGGCGACUUUCUGGUCUGUAACUGACGCUGAUGUGCGAAAGCGUGGGGAUCAAACAGGAUUAGAUACCCUGGUAGUCCACGCCGUAAACGAUGAGUGCUAAGUGUUAGGGGGUUUCCGCCCCUUAGUGCUGCAGCUAACGCAUUAAGCACUCCGCCUGGGGAGUACGA